GUAAAGAAGUCCCUGCGAAGGAUCGCAGAUGCAAGUUCGGUGGCGGGACAAAGGGUUGUUUAAGGCUACGCUGAUUGCCAUAUCAGAGGACUGUCCCGAGCUAAUUAAGCAAAUGGAUAAAGCCAUUGCAGAAUAUAACAGACAGGCCAUGGCAGACCCUAAAAAAAGUAAAGACAGACAAAGCAGCAAGCCAAGAUUUGGAGCUGCUUCAAGAAAUACAAAACACCGACGUGAGCAGCCUUCGCAAAGAAAAUGCCUCUUUGCGGAAGGAAAA